rnacentral:rRNA from 1 species
UACGUAGGGUGCAAGCGUUGUCCGGAAUUAUUGGGCGUAAAGAGCUCGUAGGCGGUUUGUCGCGUCUGCUGUGAAAACUGGGGGCUCAACCCCCAGCCUGCAGUGGGUACGGGCAGACUAGAGUGCGGUAGGGGAGAUUGGAAUUCCUGGUGUAGCGGUGGAAUGCGCAGAUAUCAGGAGGAACACCGGUGGCGAAGGCGGGUCUCUGGGCCGAUACUGACACUGAGGAGCGAAAGCGUGGGGAGCGAACAGG